rnacentral:rRNA from 1 species
UACGUAGGGUGCGAGCGUUAAUCGGAAUUACUGGGCGUAAAGCGUGCGCAGGCGGUUUUGUAAGCCAGAUGUGAAAGCCCCGGGCUCAACCUGGGAAUGGCAUUUGGGACUGCAAGGCUUGAGUGCGGCAGAGGAGACUGGAAUUCCUGGUGUAGCAGUGAAAUGCGCAGAUAUCAGGAGGAACACCGGUGGCGAAGGCGGGUCUCUGGGCCGACACUGACGCUGAUGCGCGAAAGCCAGGGGAGCGAACGGG